rnacentral:lncRNA from 1 species
AGCUUUGUAGUAUAGUUUCAAGUUGGGGGUAGUAAUACCCCCUGCCAUGUCUCUGUUACCUAGAAUUGCUUUUGCUAUUCUGGGUCUCUUCUUGUACCAAAUGAAUUUUUGGAUUGUUUUCUCAAGGUGUAUGAAGUAUGCUGGGAUUUCACUUGGAAUUGCAUUGAACCUUCUUGGUCUUAUUCUUAUGACUGGUUAGGUGUAACAGAACAGCAGUCAAUAGAGGGUUAAUCCACACUGUACUGGUGUUCAAGGAUACUGGGGUGUCCAGGGGUGCCUUCUAGGCUCUUGUCCAUAUUCUCACACUUGGUCUUCAUGUUUUCACAGCUACUGGAGUGGUGGUGUUCCACAGGCCGUCCCAGACUUCAGCACACUGACCAGACUCCAGUCACUUCACAAGCUGCUUGGAGCUGCACUCUCUCUCCCACUGGUCCACAGUUUUAUAAGACAGGUCCAAUGGAAUCGGGACCUAUAUCUGGUUGAUGUGCAGCCCACCAAGGUGGCCUAGGAGAGCAACAGCAGGAUGGUGUCAGAGGAGCUGCUCCUGGAGGUGCAGGGGACCCCGGUGGCCGGGCUCACCACCAGGGACGUGCUGCAGUCAUCAGGCACUGCGAGGGCCCGCUGCGGCUCAAGUGCAUCCAGUGAGCUUCCACGCUAACAUCUGAUCAUAUCUGAGCAACCCCUGCUUAAUGGCAGUUCUUCAAAGGCAGCAAUCCUUUAGAAAAAGUGUCCUCGACCUCUUGGCCACAGGCCACUGGGCCCAGUAGAAACCAGGCUGCACAGCAGAAGGUGAGUAGGGUGCAGGCAAGAACGUAAACUUUCUUCUGUAUGUGCAGAUGGUCUCCAUCACUGGCAUUGCCACCU